rnacentral:lncRNA from 1 species
GCUUAAAUAGCAAAAUUUCGUAGUCGUCUACCAAUCUACAAACAUUGGACUUAAUUUUAAAUAAUGGCUGUAUUUGUAAAUUGAAAAUUUUACUUUUCCAUUCUAAUUCAUUAUUUAACGAAACCAAGUGUGCCCAUGUUCUUUGACAAAAGAACAUAGAACUGCAAACAUUUUUCGGAAGUGCAGGUAACUCGGGCACUGCAGGCAACCCUCCUUCAUGGCUUGAUGACUGUUCAGACAGUUCCUUAAACCUUCUCAAUUUUCUCUUUCAGAAGCAAGGUACGAUUGAAUUUGAUUUCUUAUACCAUAUAUAGCAAGUAAUUUGAAAAGGUGCACUUCAAAAAAUAUCGACAAGUUCUCCUUGAUAGAAAAUAAGUCGUCAUUUGCUGCCACGGGCACAGUACAAUGGUAAAGUAGGAGGAUUCUCUAAGGAGCAUCCGGCAGCCGGAAGGCAAUAUUUAUGUUGGAAGGCAGAUGUCUCAUGGAGACAAAGUUAUAGUGGGCUUUGUCGUUCUUCCGGGAUUCUGUCCGCACGUCGUAAAGGGAGGUGCAUAAAGAGGAGAAUUGCAUCUUGAACGUCCGGCCCAAGUGUAUAUGAGCUAUAAUCGCAUUCGAAUUUACUUGGAUGGGGAAUCAGGAGAAAACCGUCACUCCUCAGGAUUAGUCGGACCAAGCUCGAACACCUGAGCCAUAAAAAAAGUCGUCAUUUGGUCAAAUGGAUACUGUUUCUUUACCUCAAAUAUUUGGAGAAAUAGACCCCUCAAUAGAACGAAUAUAAAUAAAAAAUUAGCCAGUCCACUAGAAAUUGGCAUAUAGAGAAAACGAUGUUGCUAUUAGAACAAUUUUUUGUUUCAGAACUCCGCUCUAUGCUUUUAUUCUAUUUACUCUAUUUUGGUUCUUAGCACGUACGUUGCACAACCAUUGCACAUAAAUAAUCAUUGUUUCAUUGUCAAGCUAAGCAAUCCUUACAUCUGAUGCAGUUCAAAUAUUGUGUACUCAGGGUACUGUGUUGGAUUUUUAAAAUUUCUAGGGGGGAAUG